ensembl:lncRNA
UGUGUGUGUGUGUGUCGAGUCAUCUCCAUCAUCUCCCUGUCGUCUCGCUUUUUUCUUCUCUUCCACUCAACCACAACUCUGUGCCUCUGUGAGGUUUCAGUAGCCGAAUGGGAUUGAGGUGGACCUUAAAUCUCUGUGUGUGUGUGUUUGUUUGUGUGUGUGUGUGUGUGUAUGCGCAACUUUACUUUUUCAUAACAUAAUGCAGAGUGAAGUAUCAUAAGCGGUACUCAUUGAAUGAGUGUGUGUGUGUAGUGUGUUUUGAGCAUUUUGCGCAAACUUGAGAGUGUGUGUGUAUGCGUUUCCACAUGUGUGCCUAUGAACUAAAAAAAGGGUCACAGUUUGCCGCAGCCAUGGAGAUUUGAGGUGGUUAUUAUGGGGUGGCGGAGCUGUUUUUUGAAUCUGUGCCUCAAUGGCUUACUAACCAUGAGAUCUUGCACGACGUGCUGUCUUUGAUCAUUCUCCGUAGGGCGUAGCACAGUCUGGAGAUGGUUCGUUUGAGAAAAAAAAAAAGAAAAAAAAAGUAGUUCAGUUUGAUUUCUCCACAGGGAUGUGAGCUUGUUGCCUUUUGUCCACUCUCUUGCUCCUGGGCGAUUGAGUUGUUCUGAUUGUGAUCUUUGCUCUAAAAGUUCAACAAAAAAAAAAGUUCAAAAAAAGAAAUAACUUGGCAUCAUACUGUGCAAAGUGCACAGAAGGUGCACACAAUGUUAGUAACUUGUUACGUAUUCAUUGUUGUUGCUAUUGUUAUUGAUUUCUUUUUAUAUAUCUCUAUAUAAAGAAAUAUAUAUGCAUUAUAUACAAAGUUAAAAGUAUUUGGACUAAGAUUAAGCACUUGGGGCUGCUAUUUUUUUCCUUCAGUUUCAUUGCCACCAUGUGAAGUGUUGUAUUAUUUCUUUCUUAAAAAAAGAAAAUAUUUGAAUGUAUUCCAAAAAAAAAAAAAAAAAAAAACGUACAGGAAAAAAAACGUGAAGCCGAAAGAUUUUGUUUUGUUCUCCGAUACUUCAAGAUACAAACACGGGGAAACGAAACCAGAGGCAACGAAGAGGCUAUAGGAGUUGAUUCUGCUUAUCUCAUACUGUUCUGGGUUGUUGUUGUCCUUGAUCUUAAUUGUGGGCAAAAAAAGGACAGGGAACAGAAAUGGACGCUUGAACACACUGCCUCUUACAGUCCUGUUAAUACAAAAAACAAUGUUAUUAUGACGAGAUAUAUAAAAAAAAUUGACUUUUUCUAUUCCUUACUGGAGAUUUUUUUGUUGUUUACAAACCAUGCGGAUUGUUUUGGGUGCAGUUAUCUUUUUUUUGAGGGAAGGAAACAUGGGGCUGCUGUAUAGACUUUUCCAGAGGCAACCCUCAAACGGACGUCAAUCACUCUGGGCGGGAUAUUCAACCAUCACUGUCAGGCCUUCCCCCUUUUGGGUGGUGAAAGCGUUGCCUGGGACGUUGAAAAUUGCAGACCCUGCCAGUAGAAAAAGGAAAAAAAAAUCUUGAGAUUCCCACAUUUUAGUUUCGUUUGAGCUCAACCCUCUCGCCUCCUUCAGGGUUUUGUUGAUUCUCCAUUUGAACUGAAUUCCUUAAUGCGUUCAGGAGUGGAGAUAACCUAAGCAUUCAAAAACAGCACACCUGAAUUUGGGGGUACAAGGACUCCGAGCUGCAGCAAGGAAACCAACAAAGAUGUCUGUCCUUUUUUGACACCUCUCUCUACCCCCACAUUUCAUGACCUGGACUAACUCCUGACAGCAUUUUGUUUUCUUUUUGAGAAACAACUCCAGGAAACAAUGGACAUAUCUUGUGGUAGAAAAUACAACAAACUAAAGAAGAAAAAUGAGAAUCCUGUAGAUAUAAUCCCUGUAUGACCUCAAGCCUACCAUCGCAUUGUAUGGGGCCGUCUGUGCAAAUGAAAGAAGCGAAGCAACCCAUCCCCAAUCCCACCCCGCCUCCCCAUCGAGGUUUUAAAAAAGGUGUUUUUGUUGAGGGCAAUUCCUGUUAAUCAUGAGGGAGUCUACAUUGAGGACUACCAGGACGUUUCCCAAUCCCUCAUGCUUACAAACAAUACACACUGCCCUGCCACUCCUGCUAUGCACUUUGUGUUGAAACUGUGAGGUUCAUCUGCAGUGGGAGGGGAGGACCACAGUAUAGGGACUGCCCUCUCACUCUAUUCAUACAAAAAAAAUAUAUUAAAAAUUAAAAAAAACUAAAACUGAACUCUUCGGAGGGAUGGAACAAUCCAUCGCCUCCUUUGUAUAUUGACAUAUUUUUGUACACCUUCCGUUUGAAAAUAGAACUAUGUGGGAAAAAAACAGGCUUGGGGCAACAGAUGAAGGAAUUUCAUUAUACAUCAUCAACAAUGAAUGUUUCUCCAAACAGUUUUUAUACAGCAGGCUGAAAACGUCAAAAUAGAAAAGAGAAAAAAAAAAACAGUACUAUAGACAUGGGUCCUGACUUGAAUCCCCGUUGUUGUUUAAGGCGGGGUGGACCUAAUUAGGAUGGGACAUAUUGCUGAAUAGUAGAAACAAAGCCGGAUGAUCUUAGUGCCACAGACUGACAAUGACUGCACCCUCGGUCCCGCCUGUGGGGAGCAAAACAGUAGCAGGAAAACCUAAGAUUGAGAGGCGAAAAAUUCCUUGGUUGAGUCUUUGGGAAGAGACUUGGAGAAGGUGGUUGGUGGAAUUGAAGACGUUCCUGAUGUCAUCCUUCACAGAUCCUUGGAGAGCUGUUGGUUGGAGCUGCAGGACUAUCAAAUUGGGUUGUCUCGAUCCAAGGAGCUUAGGAUCCAGAGCAUCUCGUAUCAUCCUUUCCUCUUCCCUUUUCUCCACCCCUCUCUUCUGUCCCGUCUCUCCACCCGUCUCUUCUAUCCUGUCUCUCUACCCCUCUUUUCUGUCCCGUCUCUCCACCCCUCUCUUCUAUCCUGUCUCUCCACCCCUCUCUUCUGUCACGUCUUACCCCCUUCUUAUGAUUUCCUUACUUUACGUCCUCCGGAGUUCAAAUGGAUGGCUUGGAUAGUGGUUGGCUCUAGGACUGGGAGCCAAGAGAAAAACACGUUACAAGACUAAAGAGGAACACCUGACCAUUUGCCAUGAAGCCGAACCAGACGACCCUGCUAGAAUCAAGGGGGUCCUCUGGUGUGUCCUCUGCUGUACGCCAUCGCUCUGGACUUUAACCCAACCCCCCCAAUCUUUUCUCUCUCUGGACCUUGGAAGACACCUUGAAACUAGGGAGUUGGAAGUUCAAAUCUUAUGGGAAGGUGAUCACCUCGGCUUUGAGGAACAUAACCCUUGGACAAAUCAAGGAGAUACUUGAGGACAUAAUCCUUGCCGACUGCCAGACAUUAGUGUGGGUUGGUGUGGCUGGGCAUGUCCUGUUAUCGGGUGGAACUCUGAGCGGAGUGACCCAAUCAAGACCUUGACUGAAACGAGGCCACUCCAUGCAUCCCACGACCACACAUUCAGCUGCAAAGGGUCCUUCAGACCCUUAAUGUGUGGAGAUGUAAGGUGCUGAUGGUGAUGGCUGUGAUGUCAGGACGGAAUAGAUGCUCAUGCAACUAGAGCUUGCAUUGUAACUUUUCACAGAUACAUGUACACACACACACACCACACACAUGUUCUCCACACACGGUUGACACCAAGCAGCAACGUUCUUGAACCACAUUUGACUUAAAAUAUCCCCGUUUGGACAAAAGCGCCAAAUCAAUUUCAAAGCUCCAAAAAGCAUGUGUGUGGUCACUGGGAUAUGAUGUGACCAUAUAAUGUAGUCAAGGUCCCUCAGUAUACGGGGUAUAUAAAGGUCUCUCUGCUGCUCCAGCUAGUUGACCACAUUAGACCACUACACUACCAACACAUAGUCAAAUCCUCAGACGCACAGGUCAUAAAACCCCCAUACGCACACAGCUUACAAACACACAUACAAGCUCCCUACAUACACGUUGGCUGCAAACAAACACACAUACUCAAACGCCAGUCUUUUGAAAGGUGGACUCUGUAUAUACUGUACAAAGUUGUAUCCAUUUCUCCAUUGUGGAUUUUUCUUAACAUGUCUUUUGUUUUUCCUGAUCAACAUGCCUUAACUGUACAGAAUACCAUUGAGUGACACAGAAGUGCUGGUGUCUUUGGAAAGCAAUUUGGAAACUGAAGUCAUGUAGAAGAGUGUUCGUCACGAUCAAUGUUGUGGAAUUCAGGGUUGAGAAGUUUGGUUUGAGCCCAUUGGUUUAGCCGUUCUGUAACCCUGUCAACAACUGAUAAAAGUGUCUGUAUACAAGACCAUUCUCUUAAUUGACAGCGAAGACAAUGGUAAAUAAGAGACAAAAAAAAGAGUGUCUGGUGAUAGUGGUUUGCCUUUCUUUUUUUUUCCUGAAACGAGUGACUUUGUAAAGAUUUCCAGUUUUAAACGCCUCUACAUGUAGCUGAAUUCGCAGGCGGGAGACGUAAGAGGCUGUGCAAUGCAAAGAUGGGCUGGGCUGAGCUGACUGGGAAGGGCUAGCACGCUAAUAUUAGCAUGUUUAAGGUUUCGCCUUGCCACACGCUGACCCUUUAAACACGUUAUUGGAUCCUUUGGGUGUGAAAUUGCUCAGACAAUUGGAUGACUGUCCUCUAUGGUUAGUGCAUUAUGCAGUUUAUUUUUUCUUUCUUUUUUUCUUGCAAUUGUGGAUUCAUUGCCAGUCCUCGUCUGACUAUGUGAAUUGUGGUCUAUGAAGAACACGAAGGCUGCUUUGGGCCCCAGCUGAUGUUACAGGCCGGCUUUCGAUCAUUUGGUGUGCUUGUGUGACAGCCCUGACACUAGGCCACUGAUUGUUAUCCGUUUGGCUGAUUGAGUAGAUGACUCCACUGUUAGCAAAAUAAUUUUUGUACCCAACUUUGUUUUGAUGGUAAAAAAAAUAAGUGCUAUUUCCUUUCCAAUAUUGUUUUUUUUUUCCAAGGUAAUACUUAAUUCAAUACUUGUAAUAACAAUACCAACAACACAAAAGCGUGCCCGAAAAUCUAGUUGCAUAAUGCAGUUUUAAGGGAGUUAGUAGAUGAUGGAUGGGUUUAAUGUUAGUAAGUCUUGGCUGUGUAGUAUGCCAAGAUACAUCUCUUCCAAAGUCUAUUGUUUGUUAUGCAUGAUGCAUAAUUGGAUAGCCCUCCCUAACCAUUGGAUAUAUUUACCAAAAGUUGAUGGAAUACCAGUGAUUGUUUGAACAUGUUAUUUGAGGUGAAAAUAAACUAUUUUGUCUGCAAAAUAAGUGUACGGUGAUUAGCCAAUAAUGCAUUUCCAAACCGGUUCUGCUAAUGAUUGUCACUUCAUGUUGCGGUAGAAUUCGUUUAAGUAUUAAUGUAUCUUGGAAGGGAAAGAGUUACAUUAACUGUCAUUUGAAUCAGAUUUUAUUUUAAUAAUUUGCCUUUUCUUCUUGACCAGUCAGCUCAACUCUCCUGCUUACAAUUUAUGAAUGUUUUAGUGAUAACAGAGUUAAUUGGAGAAGAACAACAACCAACAUAAAAUUGUAUAUAGUUUGUUUGUUUGUUUGAAGAGAUCAAAUGAUUAAAUAAAUACAAUUAAAGAGA